UCACAAAAACACAAGGGAAGUUCCCUUAGACUUUUAAACUCUUUCUUCAAAUCUUCUUCAUUCAUCUUAUUCAUUGCUUGUGCGUGAAAAGAUACUUAAAAUGAUUAUGAUUGAAUUGUGAGAUUGUGUGCAUCAAGUGUGAUGCAGGAUAUUCAUUUUCUUGGUUUUGAUAGGUACUGAUGCACCUUUGGGAUAAUGUAUCAGGUACCAUUGCUUGAUGCCUCAUUAAACAGUUUCGGGUCAUCUCUUAGCUUCUCUAAAGAGGCUGUAAGUCUGUUGAGAGGGGGAGAUUCCAAACCUGGUCGAUGAAGAAGGCAAGCCGUGUGUGAAGUGAUUGAUCAGCCUCACUGGUGUUUUGAAGAUGAUCUGGUCGUGUCCUAGCUUCUCUAAGAUGGCUGUGAAGUCAGUUGAGAGGGGGAGACUUCAAACCGGUUCCAUGAAGAGGUGAAGCUGAAGUGUGAAGUGUAGGCAAAGCUGUGAAGAGUUGCUGCACCUAUUAGGCCGUGAUCCAGAGCUUCUUGUGUCUAACCACAUUGGUUCUAAGGCACAAGAGCUCACUGGCCAAUCCCUAGGCUUUGGAGAGCUCUACUCUUUUUCCCUUGCAAGGUUUUGUUCCAAUGGGUUUUCCUUGUAAGGUUUUUAAUGAGGGAGACUCUUCAGAGUUCCAAGCUUGGCUUAGGAUCUCCUAAAGUCAAGCUUGAGGGGGAGUGUUGACUUGAAGAGUGAAAUGGAGCCAAAGGAGAAGUAUGGAGGAGUUUGGGUCUGGUGCAAAGAUAGGGACAAGAUCUUAAGAGAUUGUCUAUCAAGGCUUCAUGAGGAUUUAGAGAAGUCUAGAAGAGUCAUGAAGGCUGUACAAAGAUAGUGUUUAAGUCCAGGAGGGACUUAGACACCAUUUGGAGAUAGUUGGGUGAUGGUGCAAAGAUAGGGCGUCCCGAGGUUCAGACGGUACGAACGGACCGUGCAAAGUUAGGGCGACCCAAAGCAUGAUCUGGUUCAUCUAUUGAAGAAGCUUGGUGAACUUGUGCAAAUAUAGGGCGAGGUACGGACAUCAGGUCCGUACCAUCAACCGUACGGAUGAGCAGGCCGUAUCACUUUACCCGGAUUGACCCGAAAUGGAAAUGUGCAAACUUAGGGAGCAAGGAGGAGUUAUCUGAGCUUGUGACUGUUGGGAAUGGAUAAGAGAGGAGCUGGGCGUGACCUGUUGCUAGCUGGAAAGUAGCUGGUCAAAAGGUAAAGCACCUUUUGACCAUGGAACACCACAAGGCUCCAUCUUAUCCAUCCAUUUCAAACAUGGGCAAUCUGAACCAUCCAAGCUUCUCUUACCAGAUUCCUUUAGCCAAUCAGAGACCAUCACCAAGAUUGUGAAGACCAGAUCCAAGACUACAUCCUAGCCAUUCAUUCUCAAGUCAUUUUUAGCCAUUAGAUUAAGGGUUUAUGAUUGCAAACUUGUAAAGCCUAUAUAAAGGCUAUGUGUGGACGUUUUUGUAACCCUUAAGUGAGUAAGGGGGUUUCCCUUCUCCUUCUCUAAUCUGAAACACUUUCUCUUAGUCUCUCUAGUCUCUCAUCCUGAAUAUCUAUACACGUUCUCAGUCUGGUCACUAAUCUCUUAAACACUUAGACACACAAACACUCAUUAAACUUCCUUUCUCUCAAAUCGCUUCCAAGCUCUCUCUCUCUCUUUACCCAUUUGGGUUUCAUACACACAUACAACCUGAGUACUCUUAAAUCUCAUAGCACAAAAUGUAGAACUACAAUUUUAACAUGAAAUAUUAACAAUAUAAUAACACAUAUCACAUUAAACACUAGAAAAAUAACAAAAAAGAAACAAAUAAAACACAUCCACAAUUACCUUAUAAUCAAAUAUUUUUCACUCUAAUUGCUCACCAAAAAUACAAUAUAAUUACCAAAAAUUAAAAUUUAUCGAACCCAUCUAAUAAAUGCACAUACCCAAAAAUUACAACAUCACUUACAUCUAGAUUAAUAAAUCACACAAACUUCGAAACAACAUCACAUAAUAAAUCUAUUAAAAAUAACAGAUAAAAAUAAAAGAAGUAUAUUUGUUUAUAGCCUAAUUAAUGGCUAUAAGUGAAUUAAAAAAAAGAACUGGUGACAAAGAAACACAGAAAUACGAACAAUGAACAUGGGUCGAUCCUAAAGAAGAUAAUCUAACUAAUACUAAAAGGGAUAUAUGAGGAGUAGCCCACGUCCUCAUUUUAAAUCAGCCAAUAAGAAACAACAUAUUUGCCACGUCAUAUUUGAUCUUAUGUCACUCUAAAUAAACCAGCCCAUUUAAAAUCAUUUACGAAUUUGUAUUUGGCAAAUAACAUGAAUCCAUCAUUGGGCCCAUUCUCUGUCCGAAACAUAAUAGCUGUAAAUAUAUUCAUGGUCUUCUUCAAUCUCAUCAUUUCAACACCUUCGUCACUACCACUUCCCAUUCUCAGUUUGAACGUAUACGUUCAACAUGUAAACCUCAUAAAGCUCAAAUAUUAAUUAAAAAUAUCCUUAAAUCAUCGUCGGUUUCCAUUCUACCAUCUCUACACCUUAUAUAUCCCUCAUCACUUUCGUCCUUGUCCCCUUCACCAAACGGCGAAAUCAUCUAGCAAGGCCCCGCAUAGCUUUCUUCUUCAGUGACGUUGUUCCUGGUAUGGGGCAAUCUGAGCUUCGGUUUUGAUCAAUUCGCUUUGGGUUGUGUUAUCCAAGGGUUCAUCUCCUAAAACCGUAUAGCCCAAUAAGAUUUACAUCUCUGUUUGCCUUUUCUUAUUUUACGUUCUCUCAUAUCAAAUUGAACAGAUUGAUUCCUUCAUAUGAAGCUUUCGGUGAGAACGUAAAACCCAUUUGCUGCAGCGUUUUGAUGUCUUUAUCAGAGCUAAGUAUGACAGACGUACGGAUCAUGACUGUAAAAGUUUUCUUUGUAUGUUUAAUCCUAUGGUUUUUAAUAGGAGUUCGUUUAGUCUCCCUGACAACCAGACAAAUGAUUUUUAAAAAGCAAACACAACAACGGAUCUGAUGGACGAGUUACCCGUCUUUUGAUUUGGGUAAUAAUGAUCAUGUAACAACCAACCUGAAAGAAUGUUCUCCAUCUGAGCCUCACAUGGGAUUUACAGUUGAAGGUUUAGGUCAAAAUAAACUCUAAGAGGCUGCCUAAUUCUCAACAGCCAUCAGACAGUUCCACGGGAGGGAAAAGGAUAAGAUGGAAUCCCAUGCAACACUGUUACUAACACUCCCGUAUUUAUAAACAUAAGGAUAUGUUAAGAGAUUUUUAUGUUCUCCACAAACUAAGCUUGACUCUACUCUUCUGAUAGGAACAUGAGAAACUUCAUUAAGCAACUGCAUGCAUAUUCAGGGGAGAGCCAACUGAAAGUUUUAUCACAUCAAGGGAUGACGAAUGAGUGAAUGCACAAGUAAAAAGCUCUAAAUCAGCGCCAAAAACUGGUGAACACGCGAUUAUGGUAUGUGGUUAUCAAAAUUCGGACGUUAAAACUAUAUUUUCCAAGAUUUCUAAAAGACAAGAAAAAAAGACCUUAAAUAUGAGUUAUUUUUGUUUUUCAAAUCAGACAGAAAAGGUGACUGUCGAGGUGAGAUAAUUGCUUGAAGCAUGAGAAUGUUCUUUGCGUUAAGAUCAUGUAUCAUUCGUCAUGUUUUGUCUUUAAUUAUGUGCUAACGUAAAAGAAACUUGAAAUGAAAUAUACAGAACUAGCUUAUUUUGGUAA